UCUUCUUCGAUUCUCACUUCUUAAUUUUUUUCCAAACAAACCACAAGAAUCAAAUAACAAGAAUCUUUCUUCUUCGAUUCUCACUUCUCAAUUUUUUCAAACAAACAACAAGAAUCUAAUCACCAGUUGUUACAAAUUGAGUAAUCCUGAUAUCAUCAUCAUCUUCAACAACAACCAAAGCUCAAACACAGACAAACAGGUGAACGAAAAGCUUCAAGAACCGCCAGAAAUUCUGCAAAAAAGAAAAAAAAUAGUGCUUUUCAGGAAUAAUCUUCUUGUUGCUACCUCUUAGCUCUACAAUGGCAAUCAUAAUUGAAGAACCAGAUUCACCAACACCAACACCAAAGAAACAAUAAAAACCCCUUAAACCCACUUCAAGAACUCCUAAAUUAACCACCCCAACCCCCAUAAAAUCUUCCAAAACAACAAUGCAACAACUCCCUUUCCCAUGGUUGAUUUCUCAAUUAAUUCUUUUUUUUUAGAGUAGAUCGAAGGAAAGAAGAAAAGACAUGAAGCUUUUGUCAAUGGUGAACAUCUCUUUCUUUAAGUUUUUGCCAACGCGCUGCCGCCGCAGGAGUUGUUGAAAACAUAAUCCUACCAGUAAUGCAUUAACACAAAAAACCCCAACUGAUUUCCAUCAUAGUCCAUCGAAUUUGCAAAUUAGGGUUCCUUAUGAGAAACUUUUUGUCGACAACUGGAAACCACCACUAGCAAUAAUGGAACCAGUCCCAAAGGUGUAUCAUUAGGAGGACUUUGUUAGUAGAGAAAGGAUGGGAGAAUUGAGAGGUAUAGAGGGAAUCGAGGGAGAGAUGGAGAGGUGAGAGAGAGAUGGAGAAUGACGAGGGAUGAGAGAGAGAAAAAGGGGAAAUUGGUGAGGGUUCCUUUGUUUUUUCCUUUUUUUUUAAAUUUAUAUUUUUGGCUUACUUUUUAAAAAAUAAAUUUUGUUUUAAUUUAUCAUUUUAUUUUUAUUAUUGAUUAAUAAUUUUAAAAAUUAAUCAAUUAAGAUAUUAUGACAUGGAAUUUAAUGAAGCAUUUAAAAUGACAUGGAAAUGAUGUGGAAGCUGACGCGGCAGCAAUUGUAUUACACACACCGAAGUAGGACUUAAAAUGUUGCUUGUUAGUAGGUUCAAGGGUCCAGAUGUUAAACAUGUAAUUAGUGCCUACCAUUUAUUUAGCUAAAUUUAAAAUGUUUAUACCUUACCAAUCAUAUUUUGUUUAUUUCAAGAUAAAAAAAAUGUGACGAUAUAACUUUUAUAUAAGCAUGUAGAUCAAAUCUAUUUUACACGAUGAUGUUGACAUGAUAUGUCAUUUUUCUAUAACGUCUCGCAAAGUAUUAUUGUUGUUUGUUCCGGUCUCAAAUAAAUAAACCAUCUAAUCCAUAUUAAGUGAAUUGUUGGAAAUCUUUUUAUAGUUUAAAAUAGCUGAAUUUUUAAAUGUUCAAGAGAAAUGUUAGAAUUUUUUCAUUUUUAACCUUACCCUUUCUUUUAAGGAAAUUCAUAACUAUUUUUUAUUUUCUUGAAAAAUAUUUUGAAAAUAAUCAAUAAAGCAAUAGUAAAUAAUAACCUUUAAUUCAUAAUCUUAAAUAUAUUCUUUUGCUUAAUGAAUAUACUAUAUCCUAACAAUUCUCCUAAUAUGGUCUAGAAUAAUAUAUUUUUAACUUAAUUCAAUGAUAGGGGGAAAAUAAUUAAUUGCUGCCUAAUUUGUGUUUUCCCUCAAAAUACAAAAAAAAAAAUUAAAAAUAAUAAUAAUAAUAAUAAUAAUAAUAAUAAUAAAAAACCAUUAAACUCAAAUUGAAAAAUAACACUUUUCAUUUAUUAACAUUUUCAUUUUUUCUCUAUUUGUGAAAUGUGUAUGUGGCAAUAGGAAAUAAAAUACAGAAAAUAUCUUAUUUAAGCAACUACCUUGACUGUGUUUUUAUUUCUUUCCCCUAACAUUUUCCUAUUUAAGAACAUCUUCGCAAAUGUUUUCUCUCAUCCUGAUUAGAUUCAUAGACUAAAAAUUGUGCCAAGGGCAAAUAAAGUGCAAGGAGUUGUUGAGAAGGUGCAUUACCAUGAAGUUCAGAAGAGUUAGUCGGGGAGAUACACAUAAAGAUAUCGAUACUAAGAAAGAAUUAAUGGUUAGAAUUAAUGGUUAGGUACAUUCGACAUGGCAGAUCUGGCUUCAACGACAUAUGAUGAAACGUUGAUUAAGUUCCAUGGUGUCAGAGCAAAGACCAAUUUUCCGAUUCCGAUGGGCAAGAUGAAUUGGGAGUUAAGUUAGAUCAGUUCUAUAGAGUCAUUAAAUGCGGUGACUGUAGAGGUAUUGAUGGUUGAAUAGCCAACUAGAAUGGAUCUAACCCUCGGAAGCAGUUAGAUCCAUGUGGUGAUUCAACCAUCAAUGCCGCCACAAUCACCGCAUUAGAUGACUCUAUAGAACUGACCGAACUACCAGUCUUCGCC
rnacentral:lncRNA from 1 species